UACCUGGUUGAUCCUGCCAGUAGUCAUAUGCUUGUCUCAAAGAUUAAGCCAUGCAAGUCUAAGUACGAGCUCUCGUACAGUGAAACUGCGAAUGGCUCAUUAAAUCAGUUAUGGUUCAUUUGAUCGUACAGUUUACUUGGAUAACUGUGGUAAUUCUAGAGCUAAUACAUGCGAGAAGCGCCGACCUCGCGGGAGGCGUGCAUUUAUCAGACCAAAAACCGGCCGCGUCUUCGGGCGCGUUCGCCUUGGUGACUCUGGAUAACUUUGCGGAUCGCACGGUCUAGCACCGGCGACGGAUCAUUCAAGUGUCUGCCCUAUCAACUUUCGUCGGUACGGUAUUUGCCUACCGAGGUUCUUACGGGUGACGGGGAAUCAGGGUUCGAUUCCGGAGAGGGAGCCUGAGAAACGGCUACCACAUCCAAGGAGGGCAGCAGGCGCGCAAAUUACCCAUUCCCGACGCGGGGAGGUAGUGACAAAAAAUAACAAUGCAGGACUCGUUCGAGGCCCUGUAAUUGGAAUGAGUA
rnacentral:ncRNA from 1 species